GGAGGAAGGUGAUCUGGCUGCAACAUCUGUCACUCUAUUGAUCAUUAGGGUUGAUUCUGUUGAUCUGCCUGGCUAAGAAGGUGGCUCCUCCCUUUACCACUCUAUGAGCACCCCUGCUCAGUUAUGAGCACCCCUGCUCAGUUAUGAGCAUCCCUGCUCAGUUGAAGAGGAUGGUCUUCCUUCCUCGGUAGGUGAUAACCUCUUCCUCUCAG
rnacentral:snRNA from 1 species